rnacentral:lncRNA from 1 species
GUGCCACAGCAACAGAGCUCCAGUUGUGUCUUGUAAGAAUUGGUCAUUGUUUCAUGGGGACGACUGGCUCCUUUGGGUGGGAUCUGAUGGCAUCUCAUGGAGUUGAGGUUGUCUGCCAACGCUAACUGGCCAGCUCUGACAGGAGGUGCGUGGCCCAGGAGGAGCCAUCAGGCCAGUUCUCUGGGAUACUGCUGUGUCUCCAGCUCUGCAGUUUGCUCUUCGUCACUCAGCGGCAGACGGAGAGGCAGACACGAGCCCCUUGUGAGCCCUCCUCCUUACCGUCAUCUCACAAUGCUCUGAAAUAAGGAGGCAAAUGGCUGAGGUCCCCUCAGUUGUAGAUGUGAUUGAGUUCUAUCUACCAGAAGCAUAUGCCUCCUGGAAGCCUGGUUCUAACACCUCCCACAAAAUCCUUCAAGCACUUUUUUCUGUUCCAAGGUUUGCUUAUGGGGGACCCAGUGAAGUGCUUCAGAGCCCUAGAGAUUUGCUGAGUCAUAUGAGGGGUCAGCAAACUUUUCCUGUAAAGGGUCAGAUAAUAAACAUUUUAAGCUUUGUAGACUGUAAAAAAAAAAAAAAAAAA